AUUGAACGCUGGCGGCAGGCCUAACACAUGCAAGUCGAACGAGUGGCGGACGGGUGAGUAAUGUCUGGGAAACUGCCCGAUGGAGGGGGAUAACUACUGGAAACGGUAGCUAAUACCGCAUACCAUCAGAUGUGCCCAGAGGGGAUUAGCGAGUAGGUGGGGUAAUGGCUCACCUAGGCGACGAUCCCUAGCUGGUCUGAGAGGAUGACACGCCACACUGGAACUGAGAAACGGUCCAGACUCCUACGGGAGGCAGCAGUGGGGAAUAUUGCACAAUUGGAGCAAGCCUGAUGCAGCCAUGCCGAGUGUAUGAAGAAGGCCUUCGGGUUGUAACGUACUUUCAGCGGGGAGGCGUUACUCGCAGAAGAAGCACCGUCUAACUCCGUGCCAGCAGCCGCGGUAAUUC
rnacentral:rRNA from 1 species